AGAAGAGCAACAAGAAGCAGCAACAGCAGCCCGGCAGGUGGGGAAAGGCUGAGGCACAAUGUGUCAGUAUCCAUUUCCACAUUGUACUGAAACUCUCGGCACUGGAAAUUGUCUCAUCAGAAGGAACAUACUGGAAGGGUGAUGACUCAGCUUGAGAAGACUGGACUUCCUGCUGUCCUUCAGCCCUUAAUUUACAGGUUAAAAAAAGAUAUGUAUGUGCCUCACCUGUGUGCUUGACACCUGUGGAGUUUCAAAGAACAAUGACAGCACCAGAUAUGGCAUCCUGCUCACUACUCCUCAGUUGCAAGUUCUGACCCAUUGUUUUCCCUGUGCUUUCCUGCAUCGGGGUUCUUUUGGCUAUGGUUCUCAGGCUUCUUCGAUUUGACAGCACAUUUGAACACAUUUCUGCAACCUGACCCUUGGCAUCUCUCCUUGGAACACACCUUGGUCUGCAGGCUCUGGCACUCUCCAUGACAGAUGCAAACAAGAAAUACUUCCACCAUAUGAGACAGCCCUCAAACCCAGCCAAGGAGGCCAGACAAUCCAGCUUUCCUGCAGGGCACUGCGUUGGAGAACUGCCUCUUACUGACUCGCCCAAAUGUCAUUACUGAGAAGUGUCUUAAAGACCAUGCCUUAGAAACACUGGAUUCUUUCCUGUAGUCACAAUCCGUUUUUAGGAUUAAAAUUUUCGUGCAAUAUAUUUUGAUCAUGUCUUCCCUCUCCCCAUAUUUCUGUACUUUUAAGGUGAGAUUAAAGUUGUAAUCAAUAGAACCUCAUUAAACUCUUAAUGAUGUGAAUAAGAGUCAUCCAAUCUGCUGAAGAAUCUAUGGGAAGAAAGAAGGAAGCCUCUUAAGAAGAAGAUAAUUCUGCCUCCAGACAGACAUUAGACUCAAACUAAAAUGUCAUUCCUUUUCUAGGUCUCCAUCCUGCUUGUCUGUCUUGAAGUAUUUGGACAUGCCAGCUCUCACAGUCACAAAUCUCUCCUCUCUGAAUAGCCACACACACACACACACACACACACACACACACACACACACACACACACACAUCUUUGGACAUGCCAGCUCUCACAGUCACAAAUCUCUCCUCUCUGAAUAGCCACACACACACACACACACACACACACACACACACACACACACACACACACUGAACUCGUAUCCCUAACCUUUCUAAACAAGUGAAUGUGUGAUCUAAACUAGUAUGAGUUCUUUAAUAAUAGCUGAGUGAAUUGCCUUUGAUAUAAGUUUCCAAAUUAGUAGCCUGUUCCUGACCAUUACUGAUUAGCUUUUAAAAGGGCAAACAAGUCAUUUGCCUGUGACAUACUCAGAGGCAUUUCUCUAUAGCAGAGCAUUUUAAUUUUGCAGCAAUAAAGAACUCCAUGAGAACCACACGAGACUAUUUUACCCAACUUUUUGGGGAGGAGUCUGAGUUACACAGUUGUAUUUUGCUCUUAUUUAUCAAUCUGCAUUGUAACUAGUGAUCGGGAACAGCAAUGGAGACUAAAAGUUGCAACAUGGCAACCCCUGACCCCAAUGAAGCUGGCUUGUCUGGUCCACAUCAUGCUGGUCCAGCUCCAGCUUUGUUUUCAGUAAACUUGACUAGACUGCUCUAAGGUGGGUAGCUAUGGGUCUCCCUCCUUUCUGUUCCUACUCAGGUAACAUUUUACAAAUUGGCAUCUUCCUAUCAGUCUCUGAUAGUUGUUGUGAUAAUGGUCUCUGAGUUCUAGACUAUGAAAUACUAUCAUCAAGCAUGCAUUAUGACCCUAAGUGGCGGGGAUAAGGGAAAAGACAUGAAAGUUGGAGAUUCCAUUUGGUAUCUCAGGGAUAGUGCACCCCAGUCUGGAAAGUAUUUAGGAAAACACUCGUUGUAGGAAUUUCAGAAGAUCAUGAAAGAAUUUUUUUCUUUUUUUUAAAUGAUGGCUUAACUGGGUUCAAAUGUAUAUGCUGAAAGGAUAUUCUUGCCAAUACUAAUAUACUGUAUUAGUUUAUAAUAUCUUAGCUUUUUAUUUGAUGUAUCACAAAGUUCUGCAGUCCUGUUCCCACUUCAAAUAUAUCUAUGCUCACCAUUUUUCAUAUUUUAGGGAGAAAGAAUAGUUUUGGCUGUAUAGUUAUAACAUUUUAAUUUAAAUGUUCUAGUAACAAUGUCCAGAGAACUUAGGUAAUUGAUUUGAGCAAUGAUGUCAUUUAUAUUUUAUCCUUCAAGUUUUUUUUUAACUUUAAGUAUCACUUCUUGUUGAGAUAGAAGUACUAUGAAAGAUGCAAAACUCAUCCCCAAUUGGAUAACUUCAAAAGAAAUACUACCAGGAUACAGAUUUGAAAAAUGAAGUGCUACAUGGGUAUUAUCUGCAGCACUGAACAAUUUGGCUUCGAUUAUUUUCUAGGCUUAAGUUGAUCCGAGCAAUAAAACAUGUGUGGAUCCAUAGUGAAUGACUCUAUCAAAUUAGACUCUAUCUCCUAUCUCUUUUUUCCAUCUAUUUCCAUCCAACUAUCAUCUCCCUUGAGGGAACAGGGGGAUCUAUGAUUUAGAAGAACCUUAUCUUACAAGUAAGUAUAUCAAGUGAACUUACUUAAAAUAGAGCAAAUGUAAGUCAGGCUUAUUCAAGGCAAAAACUUGUCAGUGGUGUCCUAUUUUGUUUUGUUUAUUAUUCUUGGAGAACUUAAUACAUGUAUACAAUGUAUUUUGAUCACAUAUACUCCCCCAGUUCCCAAAUUAAAUGAGUACAAUGAAGGUCAUGGUUUUAUGAUGCCGAAGUAGGAAGUAAUGAUUGCUCCAAAACAACACUGUGUCUGUUACUAGUUUAUUCCCAAUCCACUAUGCAAAUUAAGUAUAACAGACUUGUGUUUAAAUAAAAUUACUUUUGUUAAUUCUAUUGUCUAAGCAAAAAUACACUUUUUGGGCAUAUAUAAUUAUAAGCCUUUCUGCUUAGAGUUUAAUGCGACUCGAGAACAUUGAUAAAAUGGCAUAAUGCAAAAAAGUAUAAAAUCUUGGAUAAUGAAGAAUCUCAGGGUUCUUCCUGUGAGUGUUUGUUGCCAUUUAGCAGUGAAUUCAAUGGAACGACCUUUUAAUUCUCAAAGAGCCCUGGAUUCCCUGCAGCUGGAGUUACAGGCAGUUGUGAGUCAUCUGACUUGAGUGCUGGGAAAGGAACUUGGAUCCCUGCAAGAGCAGCAUGCCCUUUAGUCCCUGAGCCAUGGCACUACUGUCCAGAUACACUAAACAUUGUUUGCAGAAGAUUUAUGUAUCAAAAGUGGCUGUGAGACAGAUUGAUGCAUGUUUGUAACAAUGUUUGUAACAUGGAUACAAGCUUGUAACUUGGUACUACCUUCUAUCUCUAUAGUGACACUUUAUUUUGAUGAGUGUGGUGGUUGUUCUUAGAGGCUCAUCCUUGGUUGUGGUGGUACUAGAAGUGUUUAUCAACUUUUAGAAACAUUUUGAUGCUAACUUCAAAUAAUCCAUGUUAUACAGUGUUAAAAGCUAUGAUAGCUGCUGCAUAUGGCCCAUUUAGUGCAGGGAAAUGGGCCAAAUAGAACAGUCUUCAUUUGGAAAGAUUUUCAUCGUCCUGGAAUUUGAUGAGCUAGGCAUCUGAGCUCAAUCAACAGCAGUCAGGUUUGCUUUGGCUUGCUAAUGGCACCAAGUAAAUGUUGUGGCUGCAAUUCUUGGUAUCAGGAUUGUUCCUAGAUCUAAUGUUGGCAAAAGUCCUAUCUACCGAGUUUCAUGCCAAACGCAAAGCACAUGGAAUCCUUCAAGGGUUUGUUUCUGCUGUUGUUCGAUAAUACAUAUAGGAUGACUCAUUGGAAUUCUGAGACAUAUUGUGUUGGCUCUCCACUAAAUGCAUGCUGUUUUGUUUUCCAGCCAAUGCCUUCCUUUCAUGGUUAAGUAUCUCUCAAAUGCUAUCGUCAGGUUCUGGAACCUCACCAUUCUCUUGGCCCCCACUGCUAUUAUACACCAUUCAAAACAAACAAAAAUACAUAAUUCAUAAACUAGCAAAUAAUGCAUAAUUUACUUAUUUAAUUAUUUACUUAUGUUUGAAUAGAUACUAGGAAUAUGUAUAAAAUAUGACUCAGAGGUGAAGUCAGUUAUUAGAGUUGGGGACACAACAUCUAUAUGAAACGAUGUUCCCUUACGAAGAGUCUUCCAACAAUUUGGCUCUAAAACUACAUCAGACUUUAUCUGUUUAAUCAUGAUGCAUUGGUUAGCGAAUUUUCUGAUUUUUAUUA